rnacentral:rRNA from 1 species
GCCCAGUCGUAAACUUUUAUUUACAUUCACAUCGCCUGGGAACUACGAGCCAAGCUUAAAACCCAAAGGACUUGACGGUAUUCCACAUCCACCUAGAGGAGCCUGUCCUAUAAUCGAUAAUCCCCGCUAAACCUCACCAUUUUUAGCAUAACAACCUGUAUACCUCCGUCGUCAGCCCACCUCGUGAGUGAUCCUCAGUGCGCUUAAUGUCAUUUCAUCAAUACGUCAGGUCAAGGUGCAGUAAAUAAAAUGGGAAGAGAUGGGCUACACUCUCUAACUUAGAGUAUACGAAAGACUACAUAUGAAACUUAGUCGGAAGGCGGAUUUAGAAGUAAAAAAAGACCAUAAAGCUUUUUUUAACAUGGCACUGGAAUGCGUACACACCGCCCGUCACCCUCUUCACAGGCCAUAAAAUUAGUACUUAACAUAAAAUAGCUUUCUAGAAGAGGCAAGUCGUAACAUGGUAAGUGUACCGGAAGGUGCACUUGGAAA